rnacentral:rRNA from 1 species
GAUGAACGCUGGCGGCGUGCUUAACACAUGCAAGUCGAACGAAGAAGCCCAGCUUGCUGGGUGGAUUCGUGGCGAACGGGUGAGUAACACGUGAGUAACCUGCCCUUUACUCUGGGAUAAGCCUGGGAAACUGGGUCUCGUACCCGAUAGGAGCGCCUCCCGCGCGGUGGGUGUUGGAGAGAUUUUUCGGUUUUGGAUGGAUUCGCGGCGUAUCAGCUUGUUGGUGUGGUAUUGGCUCACCAAGGCGACGACGGGUAGCCGGCCUGAGAGGGUGACCGGCCACACUGGGACUGAGACACGGCCCAGACUCCUACGGGAGGCAGCAGUGGGGAAUAUUGCACAAUGGGCGAAAGCCUGAUGCAGCGACGCCGCGUGAGGGAUGACGGCCUUCGGGUUGUAAACCUCUUUCAGUAGGGAAGAAGCGAAAGUGACGGUACCUGCAGAAGAAGCACCGGCUAACUACGUG